rnacentral:rRNA from 1 species
GACGAACGCUGGCGGCGUGCUUAACACAUGCAAGUCGAACGGAAAGGCCCUGCUUUUGUGGGGUGCUCGAGUGGCGAACGGGUGAGUAACACGUGAGUAACCUGCCCUUGACUUUGGGAUAACUUCAGGAAACUGGGGCUAAUACCGGAUAGGAGCUCCUGCUGCAUGGUGGGGGUUGGAAAGUUUCGGCGGGUGGGGAUGGACUCGCGGCUUAUCAGCUUGUUGGUGGGGUAGUGGCUUACCAAGGCUUUGACGGGUAGCCGGCCUGAGAGGGUGACCGGCCACAUUGGGACGGAGAUACGGCCCAGCCUCCUACGGGAGGCAGCAGUGGGGAAUAUUGCACAAUGGGCGGAAGCCUGAUGCAGCACAGCCGCGUGCGGGAUGUCGGCCUUCGGGUUGUAAUCCGCUUUCGCCUGUGACGAAGCGUGAGUGACGGUAAUGGGUAAAGAAGCACCGGCUAACUACGUG